rnacentral:rRNA from 1 species
UACGUAGGUGGCAAGCGUUAUCCGGAAUUAUUGGGCGUAAAGGGCACGCAGGCGGUUUGUUAAGUCUGAUGUGAAAGCCCACGGCUCAACCGUGGAACGGUAUUGGAAACUGGCAAACUUGAGUAUAGAAGAGGAAAGCAGAAUUCCUGGUGUAGCGGUGAAAUGCGUAGAAAUCAGGAGGAAUACCAGUGGCGAAGGCGGCUUUCUGGACUGACCCUGACGCUGAGGUGCGAAAGCGUGGGUAGCAAACAGGAUUAGAUACCCCGGUAGUCCCUGA